UGCAUGCCUUAGAAAUGGGCGGUCUUCUCUCAAAUCUGCGAACGGCUCCGUAUAUCUGUUUUAAUCAAUCGCCCAUGUGCCUGCCCCAAAAGGCUGUUCAAACCCCCAAGCGGAUAUGGCCCGGUAAUUCUGUCAGUAAUACGUUUCACGCCCCCCCCCCUCCGGGGGGAGGGGCAUUAGCCGUCAGGGCGCUGGUCCCGCAACACAGCGGGGAGCAACGAACCACGCCCUGCAUCGGCCGGCCUAGCACCGGGACAACACGCCAUUACCGUAAGGGGGGAAAUCUGCGAGAGCAUGCUAGGGGGCCCGACCGCCCUGUGAAAGGGCGGCGGAGGCGGUGGGUCUCAAACCUAUCAACUGGCGGGCAGGGUAAGGGCCCGCCCGGGUGAUAACGGGUACAGAGGAUCAGGGUUUGGUCCUGGAGAGGAAGCCUGAAAGAUCGCUUCUACUUCUAAGGAAGGCAGCAGGCGCGCAACGUUCCCAAUGGGGAGGCAGGGGGCGGCGGGCUCCUAGAGCCCAAUAGCCCGCCCCCACACCGCCCUGAGGACGUGACGGGGCAUAUCAAUGCUCGGCCGAUAAGGCCGGGUAA
rnacentral:rRNA from 1 species